UACGUAGGCGGAAAAUUAAGUCAGUGGUGAAAUCCUGCAGCUUAACUGUAGAACUGUCAUUGAUACUGGUUUUCUUGAAUAUAGUUGAGGUAGGCGGAAUGUGUAAUGUAGCGGUGAAAUGCUUAGAUAUUACACAGAACACCGAUUGCGAAGGCGGCUUACUAAGCUAUGAUUGACGCUGAGGUACGAAAGCGUGGGGAGCGAACAGGAUUAGAUACCCUGGUAGUCC
rnacentral:rRNA from 1 species